rnacentral:rRNA from 1 species
GAUGAACGCUGGCGGCGUGCCUAAUACAUGCAAGUCGAGCGAACGGACGAGAAGCUUGCUUCUCUGAUGUUAGCGGCGGACGGGUGAGUAACACGUGGAUAAACUACCUAUAAGACUGGGAUAACUUCGGGAAACCGUAGCUAAUACCGGAUAAUAUUUUGAACCGCAUGGUUCAAAAGUGAAAGACGGUCUUGCUGUCACUUAUAGAUGGAUCCGCGCUGCAUUAGCUAGUUGGUAAGGUAACGGCUUACCAAGGCAAAGAUGCAUAGCCGACCUGAGAGGGUUAUCGGCCACACUGGAACUUAGACACCGUCCAGACUCCUACGGGAGGCAGCAGCAGGGAAUCUUGCUGAUUUGGCGUAAGCCUGACGGGGCAACGCCGCUUGAGUGAUGAAGGUCUUCGGAUCGUAAAACAUUUUUAUUAGGGAAGAACAUAUUUGUAAGUAACUGUGCACAUCUUGACGGUACCUAAUCAGAAAGCCGCGGCUAACUACGUG